rnacentral:rRNA from 1 species
UACGUAGGGUGCAAGCGUUGUCCGGAAUUAUUGGGCGUAAAGAGCUCGUAGGCGGUCUGUCGCGUCUGCUGUGAAAACUCGGGGCUUAACCCCGGGCCUGCAGUGGGUACGGGCAGACUAGAGUGCGGUAGGGGAGACUGGAAUUCCUGGUGUAGCGGUGAAAUGCGCAGAGAUCCGGAAGAACACCGGUGGCGAAGGCGGUCUGCUGGGGUGAUGCUGACACUGAUGCGCGACAGCGUGGGGAGCAAACAGG